UCAAGCUACUAAGGGCGCAAGGUGGAUGCCUUGGUGCCAGGAGGCGAUGAAAGACGUGGUUAGCUGCGAUAAGCUUCGGGGAGCCGCUAAACAGGCCCAGAUCCGGAGAUUUCUGAAUGGGGAAACCCGGUCCGUGUCAUGACGGAUCAUCUGCAACUGAAUCCAUAGGUUGCAGAAGCGAACGGGGGGAACUGAAACAUCUAAGUACCCUCAGGAAAAGAAAACGACAGUGAUUCCCCAAGUAGUGGCGAGCGAACGGGGAACAGCCUAAACCGGUGGCGUGUCAAGCCUGCAAGCGUUGCGUCACCGGGGUUGCGGAGCUCCAUUGGAGGGAAUUGCAGUUCUCUCGGAAAGUUACAAAAUCUGUUUAUAGCCGAAGCUGCUGGAAAGCGGCGUCACAGAGGGUGAUAGCCCCGUAAGCGAAAUGAACAGAUCUUUCUGGAUGGAGUUUCCAAGUACUGCGGGACACGAGAAAUCCCGCAGGAACCCGGGGGGACCAUCUCCCAAGGCUAAAUACUACCUGGCAACCGAUAGUGCACUAGUACCGUGAGGGAAAGGUGAAAAGUACUCCGAGAGGAGAGUGAAAUAGUACCUGAAACCGUGCGCCUACAAGGUGUGGAAGGACCAGGGAUGAGGGCUUGCCCUUAUCCGGUCUGACUGCGUGCCUUUUGUAUAAUGAGUCAGCGAGUUAUUCUAUGCAGCGAGGUUAAGCCGUCAGGUGUAGCCGUAGCGAAAGCGAGUCUUAAUAGGGCGAUCGAGUUGCGUGGAAUAGACCCGAAACCAGGUGAUCUAUUCAUGGCCAGGGUGAAGCGCAUGUAACAGUGCGUGGAGGCCCGAACUGAUGUGGGUUGAAAACCGCUCGGAUGAGCUGUGAAUAGGGGUGAAAGGCCAAUCAAACUUGGAAAUAGCUGGUUCUCCCCGAAAUAUAUUUUGGUAUAGCCUUGCAACUUUAAGUAUCGGAGGUAGAGCACUGAAUGGGCUAGGGGUCUUACCAGACUACCAACCCCAACCAAACUCCGAAUGCCGAUAACUUCAAUUGCAGGAGUCAGACUGCGGGAGAUAAGUUCCGUGGUCGAAAGGGAAACAGCCCAGACCGCCAGCUAAGGUCCCCAAUACAUGCUAAGUGGAAAAGGAUGUGGAAGCGUAUAGACAGCCAGGAGGUUGGCUUAGAAGCAGCCACCCUUCAAAGAAAGCGUAAUAGCUCACUGGUCAAAUGAGUCUGCGCCGAAAAUUUAACGGGGCUCAAGCAUGUAACCGAAGCUGCGGACUUGCAUCGCAAGAUGGGAGUGGUAGGGGAGCAUUCUGUCGUAGGUUGAAGCCGGAUCGAAAGGCCCGGUGGACGAAACAGAAGAGAUUAUGCUGACAUAAGUAGCGAUAAAGUCUGUGAAAAACAGACUCGCCGAAAACCUAAGGUUUCCUGAGUAAAGCUAAUCUUCUCAGGGUUAGUCGAUCCCUAAGCCGAGGCCGACAGGCGUAGGUGAUGGGAAACAGGUUAAUAUUCCUGUACCACUGAAGACGCGUUAUCAACUAAGGGGGGACGUAGAAGGGUAAGCCAUCCGGGUGUUGGAUGUCCCGGUUCAAGCCCGUAGGGGGAGAUUCCAGGCAAAUCCGGAAUCUCAUUCAACUCCGAGAGGCGAUGAGGAGAGAUUUAUCUCAUAAACUGGCCGAUCCCAUGCUACCAAGAAAAUCCUCGUAGUGAGUUUCUUUGGUGAUCGUACCGCAUACUGACACAGGUAGGUGAGGAGAGAAUCCUAAGGCGCUUGAGUGAUCUCUCGUUAAGGAACUCGGCAAAAUGACACCGUAACUUCGGAAGAAGGUGUGCCUCGUUAGCGUGAAGCGAUUCGCACGUGAAGCGCGAAGAGGUUGCAAUAAAACGGCCCAAGCGACUGUUUAGCAAAAACACAGGACUCUGCUAAGUCGUAAGACGAUGUAUAGGGUCUGACGCCUGCCCGGUGCCGGAAGGUUAAGGGGAUUUGUUAGCCGCAAGGCGAAGCUUUGAACCGAAGCCCCGGUAAACGGCGGCCGUAACUAUAACGGUCCUAAGGUUAAAGUGAAAAACGCUAGCCUUAGUAAAACUAAACCAUAUGCGGGAAACUCCUCAACAGCCGUUCGAUACUCGUUUCGCGGACGACGCGGAACAGUAAAAAUUCGACGGACAGGGGGACAAUCCGCAGGGAAGGCCCGGAUCGUUUGAAAUCCGGGAACCCUCAGAGACUUGAUGUUUGGAGUUGACUUAUGAAUAUCAGUGCGGAAUGGAUCACAGGAUUUGUUGAUGGGGAAGGAUGCUUUCAUAUCGGCAUCAAUACUCAUGAUGAAAUGACGGCAGGUUUUCAGGUUUUACCGGAAUUCACCGUUGUUCAGCAUCAAAGAGAUGUGCAAAUCCUGCAUGCUCUGAAAGCGUAUUUCCAGUGCGGCGUCGUGAGGACCAAUCACGGUGACCGGAUGGCUUAUCGCGUAAGAGCAAAAGAGCAUUUGCUUGAAAAAAUUAUUCCAUUCUUCAUGAAGCACCCGUUGAAAUCAAAGAAACGCCAGGAUUUUUUAAAGUUCCGAAAGGUUGUUUUGAUGAUGGAAAAGGGUGAGCAUUUGACUGACGAGGGGAUUGAAAGGAUCCGUGAGAUAGCCGGUCAAAUGAAUCGAAGUCAAUUAAGGUAAAGUCCGUCCUUCUUGGAAAC
rnacentral:rRNA from 1 species